GACGAACGCUGGCGGCGUGCUUAACACAUGCAAGUCGAACGGAAAGGCCCUGGUUUUGUGGGGUGCUCGAGUGGCGAACGGGUGAGUAACACGUGAGUAACCUGCCCUUGACUUUGGGAUAACUUCAGGAAACUGGGGCUAAUACCGGAUAGGAGCUCCUGCUGCAUGGUGGGGGUUGGAAAGUUUCGGCGGUUGGGGAUGGACUCGCGGCUUAUCAGCUUGUUGGUGGGGUAGUGGCUUACCAAGGCUUUGACGGGUAGCCGGCCUGAGAGGGUGACCGGCCACAUUGGGACUGAGAUACGGCCCAGACUCCUACGGGAGGCAGCAGUGGGGAAUAUUGCACAAUGGGCGGAAGCCUGAUGCAGCAACGCCGCGUGCGGGAUGACGGCCUUCGGGUUGUAAACCGCUUUCGCCUGCGACGAAGCGUGAGUGACGGUAAUGGGUAAAGAAGCACCGGCUAACUACGUG
rnacentral:rRNA from 1 species